AUUGAACGCUGGCGGCAGGCCUAACACAUGCAAGUCGAGCGGAUGAAGGGAGCUUGCUCCUGGAUUCAGCGGCGGACGGGUGAGUAAUGCCUAGGAAUCUGCCUGGUAGUGGGGGAUAACGUCCGGAAACGGGCGCUAAUACCGCAUACGUCCUGAGGGAGAAAGUGGGGGAUCUUCGGACCUCACGCUAUCAGAUGAGCCUAGGUCGGAUUAGCUAGUUGGUGGGGUAAAGGCCUACCAAGGCGACGAUCCGUAACUGGUCUGAGAGGAUGAUCAGUCACACUGGAACUGAGACACGGUCCAGACUCCUACGGGAGGCAGCAGUGGGGAAUAUUGGACAAUGGGCGAAAGCCUGAUCCAGCCAUGCCGCGUGUGUGAAGAAGGUCUUCGGAUUGCAAAGCACUUUAAGUUGGGAGGAAGGGCAGUAAGUUAAUACCUUGCUGUUUUGACGUUACCAAUAGAAUAAGCACCGGCUAACUUCGUG
rnacentral:rRNA from 1 species